rnacentral:lncRNA from 1 species
UCACAAUAACGCUGCCCAGGCGCAGCCAUGAUUUAAUUAGAAACUUAUUGUCAAAGGAAGUUUGUUUUUUAUAUAGUCGUGCACACUGAUUAAUUCAGUUCAGGUCGUACGUUUAUCUUCCCUUGCUAGCCGAUUAAUAAUACUUAGUAUGUUUUUGGUCAUGAUAUAUGUUUAUAACCUGUUGCCCCCUUAUUUAUGCAAUCUUGCAAAGGGGAUGCUGCCGAAAUUUUAUAUAUGGACGUCAGAAGUGUAGUUUAGUAGCAUUCUGGGUUGUUUGUGGAACCUGGGGUGUUACAGUUAUGGUUAGCACUCUGCUAUUGCCUUAACUUAAUCAAUGAACAUGAUGUAACUAUUUGUGAUACUGUUAUCCUGAUGAUGUUGAUGAUCUUGUGAUACUCUAGGGGGCUCAGGCUGUUUCCUGAGUACCUCUCCGUAAGGACUUGUUCGUUGAGAGACCACCCGGGAUAACAGUGCAACCAUGAGGGUGAAAUGGGAUGCCCUUAGCCAAUUAAUUAGAGGAACUAGAGGUGUAGUUGCUUAGCCGUCGUGCCGUCAAUGGGGUCCAGGCACAGUGCUUGCUCUGCCGAGGCUGAGUGCCGAGGUUCUUUCGUUUUGCUCUUUGUUAGUCACUCUCCUGCGGGGAGGGGUACUGUGUUUAUCAAACUGGAGAAACCUAACGGGCAGCUAUGAUCUCUAGGGAAUCUUUGUAAAAGCUACGUAGUGAUGCCCUGCCGGACCACCUAGGUAGUGGUCAAUGGGGAUUAGCUCUCCCCGGGUAGAAAGGGAAUCAUGACUCAUGGGUAAAGUGUGCAACCUCUGCAGAGGGUAGUGAAACUGAUAUAUCAGCCGUGCUCACGGUUAAGAGCAGCCUUGGGAUCCUCUUUGAUUAGAGAUACAGAUGGUUCGAGAUGCAAGGAUUAUGUUAUGGUUUUGGUUCGACGAUGAUGAUGAUGUUCCUCGAUGAGGAAAUGGUUUACGGGUUGGUUAAUGCUAAAAUCUGGCUUCUACUAAUGAUAAAUACCUGACCAACUAAAAGCAACUGCUUGAGCCUAACCCCACAUAAAGCUAGUCCACUUCAGCCAAACGGGACAUUUGCUGAGUACGUUGAUGUGUACUCAUCCUUGCUUUACCACCAAACACCAGGUUGUCCGCACUGUAACCACUGCUCAGGAGGAGAUGAAGUCGUGGAAGGAGACUUCCAGGAGUUCCAAGACUACGACGAGUUCUAGGUGUGGGUUGGCGGCAACCCCCAGUCAGCUGCCUGUGGAGGCCUUAUCUUUACUGCGUUUCGCUAGUACUUUGAUUUACUUGUUAAGACAAUGAAUACGUGGAUGUCUAUGACUCAAUGAUGUAAUAAGUACCCUUUUAUGUUAUUAUUCGAGCAUUGUGUGAUGAUGUUCAUUUAUGUAAUCGCUGUGUACGUGAGUUCUGAUCCUGGCACGUACAUAGUUCGCAUUCGGUUUGCCUUCCAAAACUGGGUGUGACAUAAGUGGUAUCAAAGCCAUGCUGACUGUAGGACCGCUGACCUAGAGUAGCCCUGGUCGUACUAAGGACUAUUGACCCUCCCCCCUCACCUUGACAUCUGAUGUUACUUCAAAAAGUCGGUCACCUCGACCAACCCUAUGCUUUACUAUCCAUACCUUGUUAAAAUUUUUAUCUUAUUCUGUCUUUGGUUUAUUCACUUGUCAUAUUAGUUCUGCUCUUACUCUUGUGCUUACGGUGUCUUUUGUAGAUGGCUCGUCUUAGACACACUGCACGUAAGUCGGUGAUUCCUUUCCUGCCGUCUCGACUUGCGGAGCGUCCUCUGCACCGCACCGUGUCCGGACAGUCGAGUCACCUGGAGAGGCUGCACCACCGCCUGCGUGAGGAGCAGGAACGCCGGCGCCAGCACGGAGAGCAGCAGGGCUCUUCCUCCUCACCCCAGCAGGAGGUGGAGACCGUGAGGCCCCGUUCCUCUGUUGCCCAACUGGAGGCACCCCCUGCACCACCGCGGGACGCCCCGGCUGUUGGAGGAGCUACUGGAGGAGACCCCGACGACGACGACUCAGACCACAGCACGGAGUCUUCUGAGCCGCAGGAGGCGGAAGGAUGGGUCGCCCGACCCAUCACCCGUGACGCCGCUCGCGGUUGCCACUUCCACGACGCACUCGACACCUUGCUGCGCCAGGCUUUCGACCGGCACACCUGGUCGAUCGAGUAUCGUUGUGUAGUCUACCAGCACAGUCGCGGGAGGUACCCGGACCGCUGGGAGGCUACCUGCCUAGUUCGCCGUCCGGAGGAUGACCUCCGGGGUGCGGAGGCCGUUUCGGAGCACUAUUCCAUCUCCGAGAGGGACACUGCAGAGGCGGCUAUGCAGGAUGCAGCACGACGUGCACUCUCCCAGUACUGUUCCUUGUUCAGUGGCGUGGCCGACGGUCUUAACCUUCGGUACUACCCCCGCCGCCCUACUGGCAGCACAGAGAGUGUGGUUGUCUCACCUGUUGGUGAGGCUAACCCUAGGUUGAGCAGCACAGUCAACCUAGUCGCAGUGCUUAACACUGAGCUGGACCACUCUCUGGACGAGCUAAGCAGGGCUCGAACGGAGAUUGCGGAGUUGCGUGCUGAGCUGGCAGAGCGCCAUCACCAGGAGGGUGGUUCCCCCGCUCCUGUUGGGACUCAGCACCCAUACCGCUCACCGCCACGUGGUCACCACACUUAUGGUUCCCCUGUCUGUAAGACCAGGAUAGAUCUGGAUCCUUAGACCGUUAGCGUCGGAGUUUGUAAUAAUCCUUAAGUCAGAUGUCUCAGUCUUAGGUAGUCAGUUUAGUUUGCUUAUCAGUUGCUUCCAUUUAGUUUAGUUUGCUUAUCAGUUGCUUUAUUGCUUGUUAUGGUGAACCUGUGCUGGAUUUGAAUCUUUGUAAUGACUGUUGCCAACCUGUGGGUUUCCCCUGCAUUUUGGCCUAGCUAGUAAUGUUAAUGAAGUCAGUUGUUUAGUUGGGAAACCAUUUACUCUUACUUUCCUUUCUUAUCUGAGAAGCUGUGUUGAAUCAUAAUGAGGAUCAGUGAAGCUCUUUGUUCACUCAGUGUCAUGAAGGAUUCUGUAUUCUCUUUUCUUAUGCUGAAGGGUUGUAAGAUCAAUGCUGAUGUAUGAAUGUCUUCCACAGAUGUCUGACAACAGGCGUCGAUGCAACAGGCGUGCUCAGCAAGAGCAGCAUGACCAGCAGGAGGAACAACAGAGGCAACCUCCCCCACCACCCCCGAUGUCAGUGGAGCAGAUGUUUUUGAUGCAGACUCAAGCAGUGCAGGCCAUUGGGCAGACUCUGGUAGCCAUGCAGUAGGCUCAACAGCAACCCCAACCCCAAUUGCAAGUGCAGAUGCCCCAGAUGCCACGAGAUAAGCGUGGUGAGUUCAUGAGAGGGCACCCUCCUACCUUCGCCCAUUCUGCUGACCCCAUGGAUGCAGAAGACUGGCUGCGCGCAGUGGAAAGGGAACUGCGCACCGCCCAAUGUGACGACAGGGAGAAGGUUCUAUAUGGUCCCCGUCAGCUAAGGGGAGCAGCCCAGUCCUGGUGGGAGUCCUACCUCGCCACCCAUGCUAACCCCGAAGCCAUCACCUGGGAGGAAUUCAGCGAGAGUUUCCGCAGGUACCAUGUGCCGGAGGGACUGAUGAUCGUGAAGAAGGAGGAGUUUUUGGCUCUGAAGCAGGGACCCCUGUCUGUUAGUGAGUACAGAGACAAGUUUCUGCAGCUGUCUCGUUAUGCACCUGAAGACGUCAACACUGAUGCUAAAAGGCAGUACAGGUUCAUGAGAGGUUUGGUGGAUCCCCUGCAUUACCAGCUGAUGAAUCACACCUUCCCCACCUUCUAGCACCUGAUCGACAGGGCAGUUAUGACCGAGAAGAAGCGUAAGGACAUGGAAGAUCGGAAGCGCAAGAUGAGUGGACACCAGUUCGGAGGCAUCAGCCGUCCACGUUUCUCAGGCAGUUCAUCUCAGCAAGGCAGACCUGGUCACCCACAGGGAUAUCAGAAUCAGAAUCAGCGUCCGCAUCAGCAGCAAUUUCAGAGGCAGUACCCGCAGCAGCAGCAGCAGUAUCGUCAGCACAGCCAGCAGGGAGGUAAUCAAUAUCAGAAGCAGAACAACCAGGCACCUCGCCUUCCUGUCCCAGCAGCAAAUCAGAGCAACCAAGCAGCCCCAGCACAAGGAGGAGGCAGAGGAUGUUUCCACUGUGGAGAUCAAGGCCACUGGGCGAUGCAGUGCCCAAAGAAGUUGGCGCAGCAGCAGACCAACCCCAAUGCUCCAACAAGGCAAGGUGUACUGCAGCCAGCAGCAGGCAAUCGUAACCAAGCGUACAACCGUGGAAAGGUGAACCACUUGGAGGCCGAAGCGAUCCAGGAUGCACCAGAUGUGGCAGUAGGUAUGUUCUCAGUCGAAUCUCAUCCCGCAAAAGUGCUAUUUGAUACUGGUGCAACUCAUUCGUUUGUCACUACAACAUGAGUAGAAUUGCAUAACAUCUCAGUAGAGGCAAUGAUGCCGCCCAUGAGGAUUAAUUCGGUUGGUGGCAAGGUGCAAACAGAUAAAAUAUGCUCAAAUGUAAGGGUGGAAAUAAGGGGGAUAGGGUUCCCCAGUGAUCUAAUAGUAAUAGACACCCUUGGGGUAGAUAUCAUCCUAGGGAUGAAUUGGUUAAUGAAGUAUGAGGCGAAUGUUAGUUGUGACAAGACGACCGUAACAUUGAAGUCCCCGUCAGGAGAAGAGGUAGUGGCCGAGCUAUGGAUGCCCAAAUCAGCGGAGGGAGCCUGUCAUCAGAUUUCAGUUGAUAGUAAGGAGCCCAACCCGCUCAAGGCUAUCAAGGUUGUGUCGGACUUUCCGGAUGUGUUUCCCGAGGAGCUAACGGGCAUGCCACCCGAGAGAAAGGUUGAAUUUGCCAUAGAGCUUAUCCCUGGUACCGCCCCCAUUUCCAAAAGAGCCUAUCGAGUGUCUGGACCAGAAUUGGUGGAACUCAAGAAGCAGAUAGAUGAGAUGUUAGAGAAGGGUUACAUCAGGCCAAGUACCUCGCCUUGGGCCGCUCCAGUGUUGUUUGUAGAGAAGAAAGAUGGUACCAAAAGGAUGUGCAUAGACUACAGAGCCUUGAAUGAAGUCACUGUCAAGAACAAGUACCCCCUGCCCAGGAUAGAAGAUCUGUUUGACCAGCUCAGAGGUGCCAGCGUAUUCUCGAAGAUAGAUCUGAGGUCAGGCUACCAUCAAUUCAGAAUCCGACCCUCGGACAUACCGAAGACGACAUUCAUCACCAAGUAUGGGUUAUAUGAUUUCACAGUUAUGUCCUUUGGUUUGACAAAUGCGCCAGCCUUCUUUAUGUACCUGAUGAACAGCGUGUUCAUGGACUAUCUAGACAAGUUUGUGGUAGUGUUCAUCGACGACAUUCUCAUAUACUCUCAAAGUGAGGAAGAUCAUGUAGAGCAUUUGAAGAUGGUAUUGCAAAGGCUUCGAGAACAUCAGUUGUAUGCCAAGCUGGGCAAAUGCGAGUUCUGGAUUCAUGAAGUCUUGUUUCUGGGUCACAUCAUAAAUCAAGAUGGGUUGGCAGUAGAUCCAAAGAAAGUAGCAGAUAUCCUGAACUGGAAAGCACCGAAGGAUGUUCGCGGGAUCAAGAGCUUCAUCGGAAUGGUUGGAUAUUACAGGCGUUUCAUUGAAGGCUUUUCAAAGAUUGCUAGACCGAUGACAGCGUUACUAGCGAAGAAAGUUGAGUUUAAGUGGACCCAAAAGUGUCAGGAAGCAUUUGAAGAACUGAAGAAUAGAUUGACUACAGCUCCUGUGUUAGUCCUGCCUGAUGUUCACAAGUCAUUCUCAGUGUAUUGCGACGCUUCUUACACCGGAUUGGGAUGUGUGCUAAUGCAAGAAGGGAGAGUUGUAGCAUACUCGUCUCGACAGUUGAAGAUCCAUGAGAAAAAUUAUCCCACACAUGACCUGGAGUUGGCAGCAGUGGUUCAUGCUUUAAAGACCUGGAGACAUUACCUGUAUGGGCAGAAGUGCGACAUCUACACAGAUCAUAAAAGUCUGAAGUACAUAUUCACCCAGUCAGAGUUAAACAUGAGGCAGCGAAGAUGGUUGGAACUGAUCAAAGACUAUGAGUUGGAGAUACAUUACCAUCCGGGCAAAGCCAAUGUUGUUGCAGAUGCUCUGAGCAGGAAAAGUCAAGUUAAUAUGUUGGCCUCGCACCCAAUGCCAUAUGAGUUAGCCAAGGAAUUUGACAGACUGAGCCUUGGUUUCCUGAACAGUACGCAAGGAGUAACGGUGGAAUUAGAGCCCACCCUAGAGCGGGAGAUCAAAGAAGGGCAGAAGGAUGAUGAAAGCACCAACAAGAUCCGACAACUGAUCUUAGAAGGAAGAGGCAAAGACUUUCGAGAGGACGAAGAGGGAGUAAUAUGGUUCAAGGACCGAUUGUGUGUCCCCGACCUCAAACCUAUUCGGGAGCUGAUCCUCAAGGAAGCUCAUGAGACAGCCUACUCCAUACACCCGGGAAGCGAAAAGAUGUACCAGGAUUUAAAAAGGAGGUUUUGGUGGUAUGGCAUGAAAAGAGAGAUCGCAGAAUAUGUCGCCAUCUGUGAUAGCUGUCAGAGAACCAAAGCAGAGCAUCAGAGGCCUGCCGGAUUGUUGCAGCCUUUGCGGAUUCCUCAGUGGAAGUGGGAUGAGAUCGGGAUGGAUUUUAUAGUUGGCCUACCUCGUACCCGGGCCGGUUAUGAUUCCAUCUGGGUGGUUGUGGACCGCCUAACAAAGGUGGCCCAUUUCAUACCUGUGAAGACAACAUACACCGGAGCAACGUUAGCUGAGUUAUACAUGUCACGGAUAGUCUGCCUUCAUGGUGUGCCGAAGAAGAUAGUGUCAGAUCGAGGAACGCAGUUCACAUCUCAUUUUUGGCAACAGCUACAAGAAGCUUUGGGCACCCAUUUGAACUUCAGCUCAGCUUAUCACCCGCAGACAGACGGUCAGACUGAAAGAACUAAUCAGAUCCUAGAAGAUAUGUUGAGAGCCUGUGCGUUGCAAGACAAGUCAGGAUGGGACAAAAGAUUACCUUAUGCAGAAUUCUCCUACAACAAUAGUUACCAGGCCAGCUUGAAGAUGUCACCGUUUCAGGCACUCUAUGGACGGAGUUGUAGGACUCCGCUGCAUUGGGACCAGCCUGGAGAGAGACAGGUGUUUGGCCCCGACAUCUUGCUUGAAGCUGAAGAGAAUAUCAAAAUGGUUCGGGAGAAUCUAAAGACAGCCCAGUCAAGACAGCGAAGCUAUGCGGACCGAAGGAGAAGAGAACUGAGUUUCGAAGUGGGAGAUUACGUCUAUCUGAAGGUGUCACCUAUCAGGGGAGUCAGAAGGUUCGGAGUUAAAGGCAAGUUAGCACCCUGGUACGUCGGACCAUAUCAGAUUCAAACAAAGCGUGGAGAAGUGGCUUACCAACUCAACCUACCAGAAAGUUUGUCGGCAGUGCACAACGUGUUCCACGUGUCGCAAUUGAAGAAAUGUCUGCGAGUACCAGAAGAGCAGUUGCCAGUGGAGGGUUUGGAAGUUCAGGAAGAUCUGACCUACAUAGAGAAGCCAACGCAGAUUUUGGAGUUUGCAGACAGGGUCACCCGGAGAAACACCAUCAGAAUGUGCAAAGUCAGAUGGGGUCACCACUCUGAGGAAGAAGCAACCUGGGAACGAGAAGAUGAUCUAAAAGCCAAAUACCCUGAACUCUUUGCUGACCAACCCUGAAUCUCGGGGGCGAGAUUCUUUUAAGGGGGAUAGGUUUGUAACACCCUGAAUUUGGGGGUAUAAAAUUUCUUUGCUCAUAUUCACAAAUUCAGGUGUUACUUCCCUUUUUUCAUCCUUUCCCAAUCUUCUCUUUCUCAUUUCUAUAGGAGAAAAGUGGUUAUUUUAUUUGUAAUUAUAGUCUAUUAGCUCAAACCCUAAGGGAAUAUGAAUUGUUGCAUCAUGUUGAACCCUAGAUUUCACUUUUGUUUGGUGCAUAAUUCUCAAAAAGUCUAAUUUGAAUUUGGGGCUCAUUUGAAUUUGAAUCAAAUAGAAUAAAUAAAAGAAAAGGAGAAAACAAUUCCAAAAUAAAAGAAAAAGGCAAAGCAGCCCACUUCCCCGCCCCCCUCGGCCUUUCGGCCCAGUCGGCCCACCUCGCGCGCGCGCCUCUCCCCCCUCCUCUCUCUGCGCAACGGGCCCGGCCUGUCGGCGCGGCCGCCUUCCGCGCACCCGCCUCCCUCUCUCUCUGUUCGCCCGGCCCCACCUGUCGGCGCUGCCACUUCCCCGCGCGCGCCCGCUCCCUCGCUCUCUCUCUGCCCGUGGGCCCGGCCCGUCAGCCCCGCUUCCCUCGCGCCCGCACCCGCUUUCUUCUCUCUCUCUGCGCCGCGGGCCCGGCUUGUCAGCUUCUCCGUCUUCGCGUAACCGCCGCCGUGCGUGCCGCGGUCUCCGCGCCCACGUCGCGCGUGGGGCUCGCCCCACCUCGCCCUCGGCCACUUGAGCCCCGAGCCUUGCUCGCCAUCUCCCCCUCCCUCAUUUGCGCACCAACCGGCCCCCCUCUUCCACCUCUCCCUCGCUGUGCGCACGCCAGAGCGCCGCCGCCGUAAACCCCGCCGUUCCGAGCUCGGUUCCCGGCCGCCGUUGGAGCUCCGCCGUGUCCAUUGCCACGGUGAGCUUCGCCCCGACGUCCGCAACCCGGAACGCGCACCAAUUUCCCCUUCCCCUCCCUAUUUCUCUCUGCCCGCGCUCACCCGCCGUCCGCCGUGCAGCCGCCACCGUCGACCCGGGUCACCGUCGCGUCUCCGUCGCCGCCGAGGAGUCCCCGGAGCCCGCCUUGAGGUAAAGAACCUCUCCCGCCCCUAUUGGCCUUUAUUUUGCUCUCUGCUGCGUUUGAUUGCUCGUCGGAGUUGCUUACCGCCGCCGCCGCCGAGCCACUCCGCCGUGAGCCACCCCCCCCGGUGCCCCUGCCCCGACCCAGACCCCACCAAUGGAUUUCCCGUGCCCUCCCUAACCUCCCCGGCCACUCGGAUCGCACCAAGGACCCGCAGGGCCCCGCGCCCCUCGUCUCCGGCGAGCUCCUCCGCCGCGGGGACGAGCGCCACCGCCCCAGCUAGCCGAAGGAGACGGGAGCCAGCCACCCCAUCCCCGCCGUCUAUAUUAGAUCAGACGGCACGGAUUCAAAUAGCCCGAACCCAGCCUCAGCCGUUCGCCUGAGAUCCAACGGCCCAGAGCCGUUUCCCCCGCGCUGCCCGCCCGGCCCCGCCUGCCAGUCGCCCGCGCCCGCGCUGCCCGCCCGGCCCCGCCUAUCAGCCUCGCGCCCGCGCUGCCCGCCCGGCCCCGCCUGUCAGCCGCUCACGCCGCCGCGCGCCCGCGCGCCCGCCGCGGGAUCUAAUCCUGGCCGUCGAUCUGAGAUCCAACGGCUGUAGGCGCCCGAUACCCCUUCGCCCGCGCAUUUUCUUAAAGAACCCCCCUGUUUUCGGGAAAUUGCGCCCGCCGUCCCUGGUUUCGUGCAGUUAGGUCCUCGGACCUUUUAUUUAAUUCAAAAUAGGUCCUUAGGGUAUAAUUUUAACCCCUAAACUUGUAAAAUUCAUAACUUUGUCAUAUGAACUCCAAAUUAGGUGCUUCAAAUUGCAAAAUGUGCAUAAUAUUAUUAUCUAUCUGUUUAUGCAAUGUUUCCCUGCUGUUUCCAUGUCCCAAUUAAUGGUUAAUCAUUAGGAUAAAGUUAAUGUUAUGGGAACCCUAUUUGAGAUAAAUAAAAGAUAGUAGACUUUAAUAAAAGUUGGAGCACUUAAGUUUAUGGACUUAAACACCUAAAUUUAGGAACUUAAACCAGAUAAUUAUUUAAUCCCACCACUGACUUAAACUUGAUUAGUGGAUGAUGAAUCACUUUGUAUAGUCCUCUACCCCAGACCUAGGGAACACUAGAGUGCCUAUCCCUUUUCUGUUAUGAACAUGUGAUCUCUCUCUGCUGCAUAUGUUUGGUAUAUUGUUUUUGUUUGUUAUUUUCCCAAGUGCAUAGUGUGAAUGAUUGCUUUACGUAGACAACGAGCAGUCUGUGUUUCCCGAGGCAGUUGCAGAAGUCCCUGAUCAGCAGUUUGGUGAAGGCAAGUGUCCUCUGUCCCAUUAUGUCCUAUUCAUUCAUAACUUACUACCCCGCAUUACUUACUUGAAACCUAAGGAUUGACUAGCUUUACAUUUUACUUUAUCCUUGAUGACCUUAUGGGCUGUUAUGGUUAGCACUCUGCUAUUGCCUUAACUUAAUCAAUGAACAUGAUGUAACUAUUAGUGAUACUGUUAUCCUGAUGAUGUUGAUGAUCUUGUGAUACUCUAGGGGGCUCAGGCUGUUUCCUGAGUACCUCUCCGUAAGGACUUGUUCGUUGAGAGACCACCCGGGAUAACAGUGCAACCAUGAGGGUGAAAUGGGAUGCCCUUAGCCAAUUAAUUAGAGGAACUAGAGGUGUAGUUGCUUAGCCGUCGUGCCGUCAAUGGGGUCCAGGCACAGUGCUUGCUCUGCCGAGGCUGAGUGCCGAGGUUCUUUAUCUUACUUGUGUAAAAAUUUCAUGACCAUAGGUCUAGUAGUUUGGGAGUUAUGAUUUUCUCAAGUCUAGUCUUGGAAUCUAUUCAGAUUCUGUACAGAUUUUGAAACUGACCUUGUUUGCCCAAGUUAAACUUUGAAUCAGUUCUUAUAAAUUAUAAAGAAGUGGAGUACUUUCCUUAAGAUUUCCAACAAAUAUUGGAUCACCCUUUUUGGUGACCUAUAAGUUAAGCUACAACUGUUUUAAGUGGAAUCUUUGAAUCUGUCCAAAUGUGGACAGCAAAGCCUUUCUUAUGUCUUUUGACCUUGAUAUGCAUUGAAUUAACCUGAUAUGUUUAUAAAUGAAAUAUAGACAAUUUUACUGGCUUUCAAAAAAGUCUAGGAGCGCCUAAAUUGGAUGACUGAGACUCCAAUUAUGGAUUUUUUUAAGUGAGUAGUUGAAUUCUGUCCAAGUCUGGACAAAAUUUACGUUUCGCAUUGUUUGUCCUUUCUAAGUGUCAAAUCUUGUGGUGAUGAUAAUACCAAGGGUAUAGUGGACUUUGUAAGCUUUCCAUAAAGUCCUGGUUUACUACUGUUGGAUGCAUAUUUUGUGAGUUUAUGAGCAAAACAAUUAACCGUUGUGCUGAUGUCUAGAAAUAUGCAAGCAUUAAAUUGAUCUUUUGAAGUUACUCUUGUUUGGAUAGGUUUGGUUUAGGCUAUUGGAGCACAGUAUGUAUUGCUUUCAUUAUAUAUAUUCAUUGAAGUACUUGCAUGUGUCAAUGUUGAUUUGGUGUCAGGAAAACUUUGUCCGGGUUAUAUAGGACUGUCUAUUAUCUUAGCCCGAGUUGGCAGCUUGGCUUAGCACAUGCAAUUGUCGGAGUCUAUGAUCAGAGUACGCCAUGUAUUCCAUGUCUCUAUGUUGAGAAAGUAUUUGCGGAAUCCAUAUCAAUAAUCGAGCUAGAGUCGAUUCCCAUAUAGCAAGACCUGACUCUAGAGUGUCGUCUGCUGCGUAUCCUAGAAUCCUUGAAGCUCGAGGAGCUGAUGCGGCAGAAGUACCCCGAACUUUUCGUUAUGGGGUGAGUUUUUGUUGUCGCUGAUCUUUCCUUGUCGUUCCGAUAGGAGCGUCGGAAUUCGAGGUCGAAUUCUUUUUAAGGGGGGUAGAGUCUGAUACCCGGUUUGCAAAGAAGAGAAGUUGAAGGUUAUUCUUUUUGUUUGUUUUUUCUCUUAUUCGGGUGUCGCGCUUUGGGGAUUUAGAAUUUGUGGAAAAACAUUCACCAGUAUAGCAGUAGAGUGGUUGGUCGGGAGCUGUCGUGCAAGCGAGUUGGGCCGCGAAUCGCAAUUCGGCCCACUAACCCUCCCCUAACCCUAGCCGCCCCCCCUUUUUCCCCCUUGUGUUGUUGCAGCCGCCGCUUCCCCUCCCCUUUCUCUUGGACGCCCCCCCCUCUCCCAUCUUCUUCCUCCUCAAACAUUUGCAGCCCUCACCACCCAAAACCCUAGCUGCCCCCCCCCAUUUCUUCCCCUCCUCCCAAGGUGCAGCCCUCCCGUGUGGUUCUCCGUCGUGUGGCUGCGAUCUCAAUUGGAGUUUGGAGGGAGGAAGAAGGAAGGAGUAAGGGAAGAACCUAAGGUGAAUUUGUGAUUAACUUUUGUUGUUUUUGUGCUGCAAUCAAUUGGAUUAUGUGUUUAUCUUUGCGAAUCGGUAGAGGUGCUGUCCAGGAAUUUUGUGAGUGGGUGAACAGCAGUAGUUCUAGGGAUUUCUGGGAAUUUUCGUGGGGUAAUUAGUGGGAAUCAGUGGGAUAAUCAUGUAGAUCUUUGUCAUACCUUUCCAACGAGUACUUAUGCGCUCGAUUCGGAGUUAUAAUUUAGGAGAUAUCGUCGUUUGAAUCCGGGUAUGUUGCUGUCCAAAAAAACAGAUUUUUCAGGUGGGUGAACAGCAGUAGUAUUAGCAGUUUCUGGGAAUUUUCGUGGGGUAAUUAGUGGAAAUCAGUGGGAUAAUCAUGUAGAGCUUUGUCAUACCUUUCCAACGAGUACUUAUGCGCUCGAUUCGGAGUUAUAAUUUAGGAGAUAUCGUCGUUUGAAUCCGGGUAUGUUGCUGUCCAAAAAAAACAGAUUUUUCAGGUGGGUGAACAGCAGUAGUAUUAGCAGUUUCUGGGAAUUCUCGUGGGGUAAUUAGUGGGAAUCAGUGGGAUAAUCAUGUAGAGCUUUGUCAUACCUUUCCAACGAGUACUUAUGCGCUCGAUUCGGAGUUAUAAUUUAGGAGAUAUCGUCGUUUGAAUCCGGGUAUGUUGCUGUCCAAAAAAACAGAUUUUUCAGGUGGGUGAACAGCAGUAGUAUUAGCAGUUUCUGGGAAUUUUUCGUGGUUAAUUAGUGCUAACCAGUAUGAUAAUCAUGUAUGGCUUUGUCUUAUCUUUCCAAUGAGUACUUAUGCGCUUGAAUUGGAAUUAUAUUUUAAAAGAUAUCGCUGUUUGAAUCCGGGUAUGUCGCUGUCCAAAAGAGAAAAAAACAGAUUACAGGGUUCAACUUGUGAACUGUUUUGGGCUAAUUAGAUGUUGGAAUUUAAUUAUAAAUUGUAUACAAAACUUGUGGGGAAUUUUAUGUAGAUGCCUCUGGAGUUUUUGUUUGUUACCAAUGCUGUCAUAAUUUUGAAGUUAUGAAAUUAUUAAGCAGCGCCGCUACAGUUUGGUGGGUGUGGGGAGAGAUGUAACCCGUGGCGGGGUUUGAGUUUGUGCGUAGGUGCGGCGUCGUUUAUGAGCCUGGUUAUGUGAAAUUGGUGCACUAAGUUGUGUGUCAAAAACAGGUGGUGGACUUCCGGAUCGUACUUAGGGAUUUGCCCGAACUUCCGGUAAAGGCAAGUAAAUAUAGUGGUGGUUGCUACCGUUUGGUUUGCAUCCUAUUCCCUGUCAUUGAGUAUGCAUAAGUUUUUAAUUAUGUUAAUCAUUGAAUUCUAUGAUGAAGUUUAUUUGUUUGGAAGUAUUAAUUCUCAAUUGUCUAAUAUUGUGGAUGAUCAUAAUUUGGUUAUGAUAUAUGUGGUUGAUUCCCAUCUUGGAUGAAGUUGAAGUGUCUUUUUGAAUCACGUUAUAUGAAGUGUUGUAGGCAUGACAUGCACAUCGCAUCAUCCAUCUUGCAUUUUGAAGUUAUGUCGUGAUCUUAUGGUCCGACCGUACCGGUACAUUUUUAGCAUCGUAUGUUGCCCGAGGAGGGGUACGAUGCGGCUUCAUAUCCUUAGAGGUAUGAAGGCAGAAGUCAUCCUUGCAUUUGCAGACAUUUGCAUUCAUGAGGAAUAUAUGAAGUGUGACAUUACUAUGUUACUAUUGUGGUUUCUACCUGCGAGGUGUGGUAACUAGGUGUGUUGUACGUUGUAUACGUGCUGCAUCUUGGUAAUAAGAAGGUUGUGGAAUCAGGUGGUGGUAAAACAAUGUUCUUAUGUGGUUGAAUAGUUUGAUAAUAUUUUACUUGCUGAGAUAUGUCAUCUCACUCUUGCAUUACUCAAUGCAGGUACUUGAUACAUGUUGGGAAUGAGGGGAGUAGCAGCACGUCCACUUACACUCUCACAAUAACGCUGCCCAGGCGCAGCCAUGAUUUAAUUAGAAACUUAUUGUCAAAGGAAGUUUGUUUUUUAUAUAGUCGUGCACACUGAUUAAUUCAGUUCAGGUCGUACGUUUAUCUUCCCUUGCUAGCCGAUUAAUAAUACUUAGUAUGUUUUUGGUCAUGAUAUAUGUUUAUAACCUGUUGCCCCCUUAUUUAUGCAAUCUUGCAAAGGGGAUGCUGCCGAAAUUUUAUAUAUGGACGUCAGAAGUGUAGUUCAGUAGCAUUCUGGGUUGUUUGUGGAACCUGGGGUGUUACAGUUAUGGUUAGCACUCUGCUAUUGCCUUAACUUAAUCAAUGAACAUGAUGUAACUAUUUGUGAUACUGUUAUCCUGAUGAUGUUGAUGAUCUUGUGAUACUCUAGGGGGCUCAGGCUGUUUCCUGAGUACCUCUCCGUAAGGACUUGUUCGUUGAGAGACCACCCGGGAUAACAGUGCAACCAUGAGGGUGAAAUGGGAUGCCCUUAGCCAAUUAAUUAGAGGAACUAGAGGUGUAGUUGCUUAGCCGUCGUGCCGUCAAUGGGGU